rnacentral:rRNA from 1 species
AUUGAACGCUGGCGGCAUGCCUUACACAUGCAAGUCGAACGGCAGCACGGGGCAACCUGGUGGCGAGUGGCGAACGGGUGAGUAAUACAUCGGAACGUGCCCAAUCGUGGGGGAUAACGUAGCGAAAGCUACGCUAAUACCGCAUACGAUCUACGGAUGAAAGCGGGGGAUCGCAAGACCUCGCGCGAAUGGAGCGGCCGAUGGCAGAUUAGGUAGUUGGUGGGGUAAAGGCUCACCAAGCCGACGAUCUGUAGCUGGUCUGAGAGGACGACCAGCCACACUGGGACUGAGACACGGCCCAGACGCCUACGGGAGGCAGCAGGGGGGAAUUUUGUACAAUGGGCUCAAGCCUGAUCCAGCCAUUCCGCGUGCAGGAUGAAGGCCUUCGGGUUGUAAACUGCUUUUGUACGGAACGAAAAGGCUCUGGUUAAUACCCGGGGCUCAUGACGGUACCGUAAGAAUAAGCACCGGCUAACUACGUGCCAGCCGCCGCCGUAA